CGCUGGCGGCAGGCCUAACACAUGCAAGUCGAGCGGAUGAGAGGAGCUUGCUCCUGGAUUCAGCGGCGGACGGGUGAGUAAUGCCUAGGAAUCUGCCUGGUAGUGGGGGACAACGUUUCGAAAGGAACGCUAAUACCGCAUACGUCCUACGGGAGAAAGCAGGGGACCUUCGGGCCUUGCGCUAUCAGAUGAGCCUAGGUCGGAUUAGCUAGUUGGUGAGGUAAUGGCUCACCAAGGCGACGAUCCGUAACUGGUCUGAGAGGAUGAUCAGUCACACUGGAACUGAGACACGGUCCAGACUCCUACGGGAGGCAGCAGUGGGGAAUAUUGGACAAUGGGUGAAAGCCUGAUCCAGCCAUGCCGCGUGUGUGAAGAAGGUCUUCGGAUUGUAAAGCACUUUAAGUUGGGAGGAAGGGUUGUAGAUUAAUACUCUGCAAUUUUGACGUUACCGACAGAAUAAGCACCGGCU
rnacentral:rRNA from 1 species